rnacentral:rRNA from 1 species
CGGCAACAGCUCAAAUUUGAAAUCUGGCCCUCGUGGUCCGAGUUGUAAUUUGUAGAGGAUGCUUUUGGUGCGGUGCCUUCCGAGUUCCCUGGAACGGGACGCCAUAGAGGGUGAGAGCCCCGUCUGGUUGGACACCUAUCCUCUGUAAAGCUCCUUCGACGAGUCGAGUAGUUUGGGAAUGCUGCUCUAAAUGGGAGGUAAAUGUCUUCUAAAGCUAAAUACCGGCCAGAGACCGAUAGCGCACAAGUAGAGUGAUCGAAAGAUGAAAAGCACUUUGAAAAGAGGGUUAAAUAGUACGUGAAAUUGUUGAAAGGGAAGCGUUUGUGACCAGACUUGGGCUUGGUUAAUCAUCCAGCGUUCUCGCUGGUGCACUUUGCCAGCCCAGGCCAGCAUCAGUUUGCCGCGGGGGAUAAAAGCUUCGGGAAUGUGGCUCUUCGGAGUGUUAUAGCCCGCUGCAUAAUACCCUGUGGCGGACUGAGGUUCGCGCAUCUGCAAGGAUGCUGGCGUAAUGGUCAUCAACGACCCGUCUUGAAACACGGACCAAGGAGUCGUCUUCGUAUGCGAGUGUUCGGGUGUCAAACCCCUACGCGUAAUGAAAGUGAACGGAGGUGGGAGCCUCGGCGCACCAUCGACCGAUCCUGAAGUUUACGGAUGGAUUUGAGUAAGAGCAUACGGGGCCGGACCCGAAAGAAGGUGAACUAUGCCUGUAUAGGGUGAAGCCAGAGGAAACUCUGGUGGAGGCUCGCAGCGGUUCUGACGUGCAAAUCGAUCGUCAAAUAUGGGCAUGGGGGCGAA